ACCGCGCGAGCCGCGCGCCACGUCUCUGGCCGGUGCGCCCUGAACUCCGGUGACCGACGCAUCUUGGCCGUGCCAAGAAUCAGAAGCGUCCAGAACUAGCGUGGUGUAUACGAUGCACAUCCACGCGUGAGAAAGGUAGGUGCAAAUGCGUUCUUUUUUUUUUUUUGUUGAACGAAACGUAGGAGCUCUUCGUCGCAGGUACAGGCACACACAGAGUAUCCAGUUUAGCUUUAGCAUCUGCCAGUAGGGGUUGAUGGAGCAGUAAGCUUAACCCAUCCAGGUCGGCGUUCACGGGACUAGCAGAUCAACGGCAGCCACACAAAACCAUCUGAAUGUAUGGGCCAAUGAGGGAGAGCCACAGGACUCGGGGCCUGAAAUGCUCGUUUGCAGAAUGCAACCGCGCUGGUGCGCAGUUACCCGACGAAACUGACCGAUACAUGCAUCGCAUCGAUGGCCAGUGAGAAAGAAUCGAGAAGGUGCCGGCAUCGAUGGCGAAUUAGACGGCGUCGCUAGCGAGGAUGCGUUCGCUGUGCUGCGGUAACAAACCACUCUUUGAACUGAGAAAUAGAUCCACAGAUAAACAUAAAUUUCAGCAGGCAAGAUGGAAGGAGAACGCCAGAGUUUUACAGCAGUAACCAAAUCAUCUCU